rnacentral:rRNA from 1 species
GACGAACGCUGGCGGCGUGCCUAAUACAUGCAAGUAGAACGCUGAAGGAAGGAGCUUGCUCUUUCCGGAUGAGUUGCGAACGGGUGAGUAACGCGUAGGUAACCUGCCUGGUAGCGGGGGAUAACUAUUGGAAACGAUAGCUAAUACCGCAUAAGAGUAGAUGUCGCAUGACAUUUGCUUAAAAGGUGCAAUUGCAUCACUACCAGAUGGACCCGCGUUGUAUUAGCUAGUUGGUGGGGUAACGGCUCACCAAGGCGACGAUACAUAGCCGACCUGAGAGGGUGAUCGGCCACACUGGGACUGAGACACGGCCCAGACUCCUACGGGAGGCAGCAGUAGGGAAUCUUCGGCAAUGGACGGAAGUCUGACCGAGCAACGCCGCGUGAGUGAAGAAGGUUUUCGGAUCGUAAAGCUCUGUUGUAAGAGAAGAACGAGUGUGAGAGUGGAAAGUUCACAA